CGAACGCUGGCGGCGUGCUUAACACAUGCAAGUCAAACGGGAAAGUCCUUUUCGGAGGGCGAGUACAGUGGCGAACGGGUGAGUAACACGUGGGUAACCUACCCUUGGGAUCGGGAUAACCUUGCGAAAGCGAGGCUAAUACCGGAUAAGACCACAUUGUUCAUGGACAGUGCGGUAAAAGGCGGCCUCUUCUUGAAAGCUGUCACCUGGGGAUGGGCCCGCGGCCUAUUAGCUUGUUGGUGAGGUAACGGCUCACCAAGGCGACGAUGGGUAGCCGGCCUGAGAGGGUGAACGGUCACACUGGCACUGAGACACGGGCCAGACUCCUACGGGAGGCAGCAGUGGGGAAUUUUGCGCAAUGGGGGAAACCCUGACGCAGCAACGCCGCGUGAGUGAUGAAGGCCUUAGGGUCGUAAAGCUCUUUUAGUGGGGAAGAAACAUCCGUGGGCUAAUACUCCAUGGACUUGACGGUACCCACAGAAAAAGUCCCGGCUAACUAC
rnacentral:rRNA from 1 species